UACCCCACCCCUCCCCGUCGCGGAACGGGAAAGCACGAGUAAGCAGGGGCAGAAGAGGAAGGGAGACCUAGAGCAGCGGCUGCGAGGAGGAGAGCUAAACUGAGGCCAAGAAGUCCACGAAAGGGAGAUGGGCGGCAGCGACGAGAGGGUAGUCCGCGGCAGCCGUCACAUCCUGCGGCGAGCGGAGCCCGCUAAGCCGUCCUCCUCCUCCUCCCGGUCGCUUAGGUCCGACCGUGAGACGACGAACGCAGUCGGCGACUGCUGCUGCGCUCCUCCCUCUGGCACCUACCUCUAGCGCGCCCGCGCCAGGCGGCGGCGGCACCCGACGAGGUUCCUCGUGGUCUCCUAGACGCAGCUGACCAAGCGGGAGCGGCUGGGUCCUAGACCUCAACGCCACGAGCGGAGCGGAGUUCACGCACACUGCAGUGGCCCUUCUGGCAGUCGACGUCGAGCGUGUUGCUGAGACGGAGCUCCGCAACGGUAGAUGACCUCUUCGAAGUCUGGCAGGAGGAUCGAAAACACGUAGAGACCCUUCUUCUGUUGGGCUCGACUCAGCGGAGGCUAGACGCCACCCACGGUAGAGGUAAGGGGCAAAGGUGAGUAUAAUCACAGAAGAAACAAGAAGACUUUAAAUCGACGUCAGUGGUUAGUGAACGGGCAUGUAAUACAAUGGAAUGGUGAGUACUGAGUACUAAUAGACUGAACGAGUACGUUAUAUAGAGAAUAGUAACUAUCUAUAUACUCACUAAGUACGCCUUAGAUAAAAACGAUCCAACAGACUCUGUACAUCGGCUAUUAUGAAAAGUCUAAAUUACAAGUAUAACAACACUCAAAACCUUUCUAAAUUCGAAAGGAGUAAAAGGGGUGACUAUACAUGAAGAAAUUGUGAGAAACUAAUAAAGUCUUUUGUAGACUACUGUACCUGCACUACCCUAUAAAUUUGUUCAGUUAACGGUUCGAUGUUUACCCCGACCGUCACACCGCGUUGUUCGGACUCGAAAAACUCUCACGUCUAUACGUACUCCGUCCUUUCCUUUUUCCGAAGUCAUGUUACUUCUGGACCUACGGAGUUCCCUCCGGACGCUCCUUACACGAGGUCUGGCCGUUCCACGACGAGUUGUCGCUCUUCGUGGUGGCCGCAGUCGUCACAGUCGCAGUGGCGGAGGAGCCGUACGUUUUCUGCAGUGAGGGUUUAGCAGAGGCAUUACGUAGGUCAUAUGGCCUACGAUGAUGUCGCUCUUCGUGGUAGCCGCAGUCGUCACAGUCGCAGUGGCGGAGGAGCCGUACGUCUUCUGCAGUGAGGGUUUAGCAGAGGCAUUACGUAGGUCCAUAUGGUCUACGAUGAUGACAAGAGGGACGGGGAUAGAGAUAUUAACUAACAAGUGAUCGUACCGGGUACCCUCGUGGUGCUGAGUCCUGUUACAAAAUCAUCUGCAUUUACUAACAGCCAAAUAACUCAAUUCUAAAAAAAUACCACUCCAGUACGGUACAACAAUCGCCCGUGUUUAUAAAUCACUCAACAACCAAGUCCUCUAGUUGUAAACCAAAUCAUAGAUACUUCUCUACUCAGAGCACCGCCACUCGCCUUGCAUCUGUUCCUACCGCUGAACUACGAAGAGCCUCUGGAGGAGACCUCCACCUAAAAGACCCGGAAAACAAACGGUAAAGUGUCUCAACCCGGCACAAACAGUCGCUAGCACCGAACCUAUACCGGGCCAGCGGGGCAGCGUGCGUGGCCGCCCAUUUCUAGAGCACGGUGGCGUGCAUUAUAGGAGGCGGGCGGCUCCCAUGCAGCCAUUAAAGUGCAGGUCCGGAGCACGCACAGCACGCCACCAAGCGGGGCACGCCGAUACCCCACCCCUUCCCGUCGCGGAACGGGAAAGCACGAGUAAGUAGGGGAAGAAGAGGAAGGGAGACCUAAGAAGAUGAUCGGUUGGUACUCCUCGAGGACCACCACGAGGACCUAGACCUACACGAUAUGUAGUGGAGGAACGGAGAACCUACGAAGCCACGUACACCGCAAGCACGAGUAGCCACCCUGCCACGUUCCACGUUGAGGCUACGUCACCGCACAUACACGCCACAUCCUUCGCCAAGGAGCGGCCGACCUGCCGCAGGUCCGCGUUGGGGUGCAGGUGACUCAUUACGGGCCGAUGUUGGAGGGAGCCACUCGGGGCAGAGGGAGGGCGAGACGAAGCCGAUGAUAUACCCUGUACCUGUCCCGAUACUACUAGUCAAUACCGAAUAUAUCCGUACGAGAGCUCGUUAACUCCGUGAAUACCCAUAAUUAAACCUAGGGGAGUAAAGAAACUCGGUAAAAAACUAGUGCAAAAAUAAAAUCACCGAGACAGGAACCUACCAGUAAAGACUACUCACUAUUGGUCCCGUCAAAGUGUACUGGGUGGCCAACCUUCGGUAAGAACGAUCCCGCUACUACUAAUUGGUACCAACUUUAUUUACACGGAAACUCGUUAGCUCUUUGGACACUCAUAGUUCAACCUAGGAGGGAGAACAGAGAUCUUAGGAAAAACUAGAACACUAUGAAUAACAAGAGAGGAACCUACCAGUAAGAACAACUCACUAUUGGUCCUGUCGAGGUGACAUAUUUGUCUAACUAGACCACUAUUCUCUACUGCCACCAUCCAAUACGUUAGCUCCUUUCCGUUUAGACUCGGCUGAUACGUAACUUGGGACUUGGGAAAAAUAAACACAAAUUUCCACAACGAAUAAAUAAGAGGUCACAAAUAUCGGUAGAAUACAUUUCUAAAGAAGAGAAACUAUGGAAAUAACGUAUACUCAACAAAAAGUAGAAAAUAACAAACAACAACCAGGAACUAAAUUAGACCAAUUCUCAUUCAACGUGAAACAAUAAGACCCUACUUGCUACCAAACCGUUACGAUAACCAAGAAGUACUCAAGUCUCCUCCUAAAGACUAUAAUAAAAUAACAAUUUAUCUGUACUGUCAUUCUAAGAACAUAGACAAGCGGCACUCCUCGUUACCUCGUAACGUGUGAAUACACAUGACGAUGGACUAAUAGCAACCAGAAAACAUAUUUCCGGAACGAUAUUAAAACAUACCAGGAAGGGAUUCCACGAUAAACCUAGUAGACCAAAAAAUAUGUCUCGGGCGAAGAGCUUCCACGAUUGGUCCGGUUGUUUUUCCCGAGUGGACGAUUAUUCCAAACUUUUAGGAGAAUCACCAGUUAUCUCCACAUAAGUCCGGGUUUUGAAUGUCUCGACACUGUUCUUCACACCAGUUGUAUCCACAUAAAUUGGUUUGAUUACACUAGAAUAAAAUUUAAAACGAGCUCUAAUUUAAAAGUGUCUCUAGAUUAAUUCUAAAUAAUUUAGCGACAAUAUAAUAUACAACCAAACAAGGAAAUAUGAGGUUUUCCUUUUGUUAUACUCAUUUUUUUGAUACAGUUACUUAACUCCAUAGUCAAACGGAAGGAAAAUAACGUGAGUAACCUAUUAACAGAUGAAAGUUUAACAACACUGGAAACUAGGUAUAUUGAUUCACUCACAAGAUAGAAAAGUCAAAGGGAUAGACAAGAGUCCUAUCUUUACAAGGAGCCGUGGUACUUUUUGCAGUUGCCUCCUUGUUGGAAAAUAAAAUAAAAUACAACGGAGAUGAUAUAACAACAACGGUGUUCCUAAAUGGACCUGUGCCUCGGUGGUACUACACAAAUUUUUACUAAUGUAAUAGGACAAGAUUGGACUACCACAAUCUUUGUAGAACCGUAAGUUCGUCCUAAUCAAGUAACAAAUAAUUAAUGUUAAUACAUUUUUUUAGUGACUAGUAUCGAACUGUCUUUUAUAAAACUAUACGGUGGUACACGUACCCAAUAAGUGACGAUGGCUAUUUACAAUAAAUGUACAAAACCCAGUACCUACUAACAAAACUCACUUUUUAUAUAGUCUAUUUUCUUUCGUACACUAUUACGACUAUCGAGCUUUGAAACCAAGGAAAAAUCUCCGGGAAAACCUAGGACGGAAGGGUCAGACGUACUUAGGAGGAUUAGGUCGUUUCGGAACUUUGGAAACACACUCGAUUUACUAUUAAAAACGUUGUAGAUUUUGACAUACAACAGAAUACCAAAGUACUGCUACAACUUGAGUUACCACAAAACGAGGAUGAUGUACACUUACAAAGAAGAAAGAAAAUAAAAAAGUAUAGGACAAACUUAUAC
rnacentral:rRNA from 1 species